rnacentral:rRNA from 1 species
AAUUUUGGACAAUGGUGGAAACCCUGAUCCAGCAUUGCCGCGUGAAGUAUGAUGGCCUUCGGGAUGUAAAUUGCUUUUGUACGGAAAGUAUAGUUUUGGGCUAAUACCCUGGGAUCAUCUCAGUACCGUAAGAAUAAGCACACGCUAACUACGUGCCAGCAGCCGCGGUAAUACGUAGGGUGCAAGCGUUAAACGGAAUUACUGGGCGUAAAGCGUGCGCAGGCGGUUUUGGAAGACAGUGGUGAAAUCCCCGGGCUCAACCAGGGAACUGCCAUUGUGACUACAAGGCUGGAGUGCGGCAGAGGGGGAUGGAAUUCCGCGUGUAGCAGUGAAAUGCGUAGAUAUGCGGAGGAACACCGAUGGCGAAGGCAAUCCCCUGGGCCUGCACUGACGCUCAUGCACGAAAGCGUGGGGAGCAAACAGG